GGGGGGGGGGGGCGGGGGGGGGAGGGGGGGCGGGGCGGGCGGGGGGGGGGCGUGCGUUUGGGUUGGGGUGGGGGGGUGGCGGACGGGUGAGUGACACGGGGGUAACCUGCCCCCUUCUUCUGGAUAACCGCAUGAAAGUGUGGCUACUACGGGAUCUUCUGGGUCUGUCGCAUGAUGGGUCUGGGACAGAUCUUGUUUCGGUGGGGGAUGGUCUCGCGGCCUAUCAGCUUGUUGGUGGGGUGAUGGCCUACCAAGGCGGUGACGGGUAGCCGGCCUGAGAGGGUGGACGGUCACACUGGGGAUGAGACACGGCCCAGACUCCUACGGGAGGCAGCAGUGGGGAAUAUUGCACAAUGGGCGCAAGGCUGAUGCAGCGACGCCGCGUGAGGGAUGGAGGCCUUCGGGUUGUGAACCUCUUUCGCCAGUGAAGCAGGCCUGCCUCGUUUGUGGGUGGGUUGACGGUAGCUGGAUAAGAAGCGCCGGCUAACUACGUG
rnacentral:rRNA from 1 species